rnacentral:rRNA from 1 species
AGGACGAACGCUUGCGGCGUGCCUAAGAAAUGCAAGUCGAACGGAUCGGUAGCAAUACCGGUUAGUGGCGAACGGUCGCGUAACACGUAAGCAACCUGCCCUGAAGUGGGGGACAACAGCUUGAAGGAGCUGCUAAUACCGCAUGUGGAGAACCGGUGGCAUCACCGGUUGUCUAAAGCUUAAUGCGCUUCAGGAUGGGCUUGCGGCCUAUCAGCUUGUUGGUGGGGUAACGGCCUACCAAGGCUUUGACGGGUAGCUGGUCUGAGAGGACGAUCAGCCGGAUUGGGACUGAGAUACGGCCCAGACUCCUACGGGGGCAGCAAUUAGGAAUCUUGCACAAUGGGGGCAACCCUGAUGCAGCGACGCCGCGUGCGGGAUGACGGCAUUCGUGUUGUAAACCGCUUUUAUCGGGGAAGAGAAUGUGACGGUACCCGGUGAAUAAGCCCCGGCUAACUACGUGCCAGUAGCCGC